rnacentral:rRNA from 1 species
CUACGGGCGGCUGCAGUGGGGAAUAUUGCACAAUGGGCGCAAGCCUGAUGCAGCCAUGCCGCGUGUAUGAAGAAGGCCUUCGGGUUGUAAAGUACUUUCAGCGGGGAGGAAGGGAGUAAAGUUAAUACCUUUGCUCAUUGACGUUACCCGCAGAAGAAGCACCGGCUAACUCCGUGCCAGCAGGCCGCGGUAAUACGGAGGGUGCAAGCGUUAAUCGGAAUUACUGGGCGUAAAGCGCACGCAGGCGGUUUGUUAAGUCAGAUGUGAAAUCCCCGGGCUCAACCGGGGAACUGCAUCUGAUACUGGCAAGCGUGAGUCUCGUAGAGGGGGGUAGAAUUCCAGGUGUAGCGGUGAAAUGCGUAGAGAUCUGGAGGAAUACCGGUGGCGAAGGCGGCCCCCUGGACGAAGACUGACGCUCAGGUGCGAAAGCGUGGGGAGCAAACAGGAUUAGAUACCCGUGUAGUC